UCGGCUGCAUGCCAUGCACAGCCUUCUUCAGAGUGCCUAGCUUAACACAGAACAUACUUAUAUACAAUAAAUUAUGAAUAAAUUAAUAUUGUUGGGCGAAAUCAUGACUACCUUUAAGGUAAUUGCGCAGUAAUUGUUCCCGAAAUGAGAAUGUGCUGAAACUUCCCAGGCAUGGAGUUUAUGAUAUACUUAAAGUAAAAUCACACAAAAAAAUCGGGGUCACCGAACUCGUUAAGAAGAUAUGACAAUCACAAUAUACCACAUUUACCCCAAUAUGGUGCCAUCUUGACGCUCAUUACGAGUAACAGCAAACUCACAACAGCCCGGUAUUUAUUGACGUUUUUAGCUCGGAUUUUGCUUUAGUAAACCUAUCUUGUAAUUAUUUUUGAAAAAAUAUUGUGUUUUGAGAAAAAUGAAACUAUUAACGUGUAUAAUUCUGAAUCACAAAUGUCUUUUGCACAUUUCUUUACAUAUAGGCCGUUUGCCGUGACCCGAUAUCAUUCACUUUCAUUAAGCAUGUCGUGG